AUUGAACGCUGGCGGCAGGCCUAACACAUGCAAGUCGAGCGGAUGAAGGGAGCUUGCUCCUGGAUUCAGCGGCGGACGGGUGAGUAAUGCCUAGGAAUCUGCCUGGUAGUGGGGGAUAACGUCCGGAAACGGGCGCUAAUACCGCAUACGUCCUGAGGGAGAAAGUGGGGGAUCUUCGGACCUCACGCUAUCAGAUGAGCCUAGGUCGGAUUAGCUAGUUGGUGGGGUAAAGGCCUACCAAGGCGGCGAUCCGUAACUGGCCUGAGAGGAUGAUCAGUCACACUGGAACUGAGACACGGUCCAGACUCCUACGGGAGGCAGCAGUGGGGAAUAUUGGACAAUGGGCGAAAGCCUGAUCCAGCCAUGCCGCGUGUGUGAAGAAGGUCUUCGGAUUGUAAAGCACUUUAAGUUGGGAGGAAGGGCAGUAAGUUAAUACCUUGCUGUUUUGACGUUACCAACAGAAUAAGCACCGGCUAACUUCGUG
rnacentral:rRNA from 1 species